rnacentral:rRNA from 1 species
AGUGAACGCUGGCGGCAGGCCCAACACAUGCAAGUCGAACGGCAGCACGGCAGUAGCAAUACUGUGGGUGGCGAGUGGCGGACGGGUGAGGAAUACAUCGGGAUCUACCCUGUUGUGGGGGAUAACGUAGGGAAACUUACGCUAAUACCGCAUAAGAACUGAGGUUGAAAGCGGCGGACCGCAAGGCGUCGCGCGAUUGGAUGAACCGAUGUCCGAUUAGCUAGUUGGCGGGGUAAAGGCCCACCAAGGCGACGAUCGGUAGCUGGUCUGAGAGGACGACCAGCCACACUGGAACUGAGACACGGUCCAGACUCCUACGGGAGGCAGCAGUGGGGAAUAUUGGACAAUGGGCGCAAGCCUGAUCCAGCCAUGCCGCGUGGGUGAAGAAGGCCUUCGGGUUGUAAAGCCUUUCUGGGAGAAGAGACAAGGACGGUAUCCCAGGAAUAAGUCUCGGCUAACUACGUGCCAGCAGCCGCGGUAAU